rnacentral:rRNA from 1 species
AGCGAACGCUGGCGGCAUGCCUAACACAUGCAAGUCGCACGGGUCGGCUUCGGCCGGUCAGUGGCGGACGGGUGAGGAACGCGUAGGGAUCUGUCCCCGGGGGGGGGUAACCGCGGGAAAAUGGGGCCUAGAACCCAAGGGGGGGCGGGGUGGAAGGCGGGGUCCAAGGGGGGGAUCGCCGGGUGUGUGUCGCCCGGGGGUGAGCCUGCGUCCGAUUAGCUGGGUGGCGGGGUAGUGGCCCACCAAGGCGUCGAUCGGUAGCUGGUCUGAGAGGGUGAUCAGCCACACUGGGACUGAGACACGGCCCAGACUCCUACGGGAGGCAGCAGUGGGGAAUAUUGGACAAUGGGCGCAAGCCUGAUCCAGCAAUGCCGCGUGGGUGAAGAAGGUCUUCGGAUUGUAAAGCCCUUUCGGCGGGGACGAUGGUGACGGUACCCGCAGAAGAAGCCCCGGCUAACUUCGUG